GGCUCAGAAUGAACGUUGGCGGCGUGGAUUAGGCAUGCAAGUCGAGCGAGAACCCCGCAAGGGGGGACAGCGGCAAACGGGGUAGUAAUGUGUCGGAACGUGCCCUCUGGACGGGGAUAGCGGCGGGAAACUGCCGGUAAUACCCGAUGAACUCGAGAGAGCAAAGGUGUGAUUCCGCCGGAGGAGCGCCCGUUUGGUUAUUAGCUAGUUGGCGGGGUAACGGCCCACCAAGGCUGUGAUGCCUAGGGGAUGUGAGAGCAUGAUCCCCACCAUUGGGACUGAGACACUGCCCAGACACCUACGGGUGGCUGCAGUCGAGAAUCUUCGUCAAUGGGCGAAAGCCUGAACGAGCGACGCCGCGUGCGGGAUGAAGGCCCUUGGGUUGUAAACCGCUGUCGAGGGGGAUGAAGGCUUGAAGGUACUCC
rnacentral:rRNA from 1 species